UUAAGUAUAUAUCGGCAUUCAUAUGUGCUCAGGUUUGGACUCUUAUGAAUCCUGAAAAGUUUCAAGCCAAUUGGACAAUGUACACUUUAGUUACACCCACUUCCUGUUUCGAUGCUGAAACGCACAAAAUGGCCGCCCCGCCAAGGCCAUGCCCUAUGACAGAAAGUUUUUCUUUAACAAAAAAUGUCAUCUC